rnacentral:rRNA from 1 species
UAUGGAGGAUGCAAGCGUUAUCCGGAUUUAUUGGGUUUAAAGGGUGCGCAGGUUGUUUGAUAAGUCAGUGGUGAAAGUCUGUCGCUUAACGGUAGGAUUGCCAUUGAUACUGUUAGACUUGAAUAUGGAUGAGGUAGGCGGAAUGUGUAGUGUAGCGGUGAAAUGCAUAGAUAUUACACAGAACACCGAUUGCGAAGGCAGCUUACUAAUCCAUCAUUGACGCUGAGGCACGAAAGCGUGGGGAUCAAA